CUUGCACCAGUGGAAUAUGAGUAUUUUUGUUUUCCUUGCAGCUCAAGCUUUAAGCAAGCUUUAGAAGCCUUGCCCCAACUUUCAAGUGGAACUGACAAAAAGUUACUAGAAGAGUUACUAAACAAAUUUAAAAGCAGCAUGCACUUACAACUGACCUGUUUCCAAGCUUCUUCUUCAGCAAUGAUGAAAACAUAGACAACACCACAAUGCAGGCAACU